AGCGAACGCUGGCGGCAGGCCUAACACAUGCAAGUCGAACGAACCUUUCGGGGUUAGUGGCGGACGGGUGAGUAACACGUGGGAACGUGCCUUUAGGUUCGGAAUAACUCAGGGAAACUUGUGCUAAUACCGAAUGUGCCCUUCGGGGGAAAGAUUAAUCGCCUUUAGAGCGGCCCGCGUCUGAUUAGCUAGUUGGUUGAGGUAAUGGCUCACCAAGGCGACGAUCAGUAGCUGGUCUGAGAGGAUGAGCAGCCACAUUGGGACUGAGACACGGCCCAAACUCCUACGGGAGGCAGCAGUGGGGAAUCUUGCGCAAUGGGCGAAAGCCUGACGCAGCCAUGCCGCGUGAAUGAUGAAGGUCUUAGGAUUGUAAAAUUCUUUCACCGGGGACGAUAAUGACGGUACCCGGAGAAGAAGCCCCGGCUAACUUCGUG
rnacentral:rRNA from 1 species